rnacentral:rRNA from 1 species
AUUGAACGCUGGCGGCAGGCCUAACACAUGCAAGUCGAACGAGUGGCGGACGGGUGAGUAAUGUCUGGGAAACUGCCUGAUGGAGGGGGAUCACGACUGGAAACGGUAGCUAAUACACAAUACCAUCGGAUGUGCCCAUAUUGUAUUAGCUAGUAGGUGGGGUAAAGGCUUACCUAGGCGACGAUCCCUAUCUGGUCUGAGAGGCUGACCAGCCACCCUGGAACUGAGACACGGUCCAGACUCCUACGGUAGGCAGCAGUGGGGAAUAUGGCACAAUGGGGGCAAUCCUGAUGCAGCCAUGCCGCGUGUAUUAAGAAGGCCUUCGGGUUGUAAAGUACUUUCAGCGGGGAGGCGUUACCCGCAGAAGAAGCACCGGCUAACUCCGUGCCAGCAGCCGCGGUAAUUC